rnacentral:rRNA from 1 species
GAUGAACGCUGGCGGCGUGCCUAAUACAUGCAAGUCGAGCGAACAGACAAGGAGCUUGCUCCUUUGACGUUAGCGGCGGACGGGUGAGUAACACGUGGGUAACCUACCUAUAAGACUGGGAUAACUUCGGGAAACCGGAGCUAAUACCGGAUAAUAUUUCGAACCGCAUGGUUCGAUAGUGAAAGAUGGUUUUGCUAUCACUUAUAGAUGGACCCGCGCCGUAUUAGCUAGUUGGUAAGGUAACGGCUUACCAAGGCGACGAUACGUAGCCGACCUGAGAGGGUGAUCGGCCACACUGGAACUGAGACACGGUCCAGACUCCUACGGGAGGCAGCAGUAGGGAAUCUUCCGCAAUGGGCGAAAGCCUGACGGAGCAACGCCGCGUGAGUGAUGAAGGUCUUCGGAUCGUAAAACUCUGUUAUUAGGGAAGAACAUACAUGUAAGUAACUAUGCACGUCUUGACGGUACCUAAUCAGAAAGCCACGGCUAACUACGUGCCAGCAGCCGCGGUAAUACGUAGGUGGCAAGCGUUAUCCGGAAUUAUUGGGCGUAAAGCGCGCGUAGGCGGUUUUUUAAGUCUGAUGUGAAAGCCCACGGCUCAACCGUGGAGGGUCAUUGGAAACUGGAAAACUUGAGUGCAGAAGAGAAAAGUGGAAUUCCAUGUGUAGCGGUGAAAUGCGCAGAGAUAUGGAGGAACACCAGUGGCGAAGGCGACUUUCUGGUCUGUAACUGACGCUGAUGUGCGAAAGCGUGGGGAUCAAACAGGGAUUAGAUACCCUGGGUAGUCCACGCCGUAAACGAUGAGUGCUAAGUGUUAGGGGGUUUCCGCCCCCUUAGUGCUGCAGCUAACGCAUUAAGCACUCCGCCUGGGGAGUACGACCGCAAGGUUGAAACUCAAAGGAAUUGACGGGGACCCGCACAAGCGGUGGAGCAUGUGGUUUAAUUCGAAGCAACGCGAAGAACCUUACCAAAUCUUGACAUCCUUUGACAACUCUAGAGAUAGAGCCUUCCCCUUCGGGGGACAAAGUGACAGGUGGUGCAUGGUUGUCGUCAGCUCGUGUCGUGAGAUGUUGGGUUAAGUCCCGCAACGAGCGCAACCCUUAAGCUUAGUUGCCAUCAUUAAGUUGGGCACUCUAAGUUGACUGCCGGUGACAAACCGGAGGAAGGUGGGGAUGACGUCAAAUCAUCAUGCCCCUUAUGAUUUGGGCUACACACGUGCUACAAUGGACAAUACAAAGGGCAGCGAAACCGCGAGGUCAAGCAAAUCCCAUAAAGUUGUUCUCAGUUCGGAUUGUAGUCUGCAACUCGACUACAUGAAGCUGGAAUCGCUAGUAAUCGUAGAUCAGCAUGCUACGGUGAAUACGUGCCCGGGUCU